rnacentral:rRNA from 1 species
AUACGAAGGUGGCGAGCGUUGUUCGGAUUUACUGGGCGUAAAGCGCGCGUAGGCGGCUUAUCAAGUUAGGCGUGAAAGGCCUGGGCUCAACCCGGGAACUGCGCUUAAUACUGGUAGACUUGAGUCCGGGAGAGGGUGGCGGAAUUCCCAGUGUAGAGGUGAAAUUCGUAGAUAUUGGGAAGAACACCAGUGGCGAAGGCGGCCACCUGGCCCGGUACUGACGCUGAGGUGCGAAAGCGUGGGGAGCAAACAGGAUUAGAUACCCCGGUAGUCC